rnacentral:rRNA from 1 species
AGGCAACCUGCCCUCAAGCUUGGGACAACUACCGGAAACGGUAGCUAAUACCGAAUACUUGUUUUCUUCGCCUGAAGGAAACUGGAAAGACGGAGCAAUCUGUCACUUGAGGAUGGGCCUGCGGCGCAUUAGCUAGUUGGUGAGGUAACGGCUCGCCAAGGCGACGAUGCGUAGCCGACCUGAGAGGGUGAUCGGCCACACUGGGACUGAGACACGGCCCAGACUCCUACGGGAGGCAGCAGUAGGGAAUCUUCCGCAAUGGGCGAAAGCCUGACGGAGCAAUGCCGCGUGAGUGAUGAAGGUUUUCGGAUCGUAAAGCUCUGUUGCCAGGGAAGAACGCUUAGGAGAGUAACUGCUCCUGAGGUGACGGUACCUGAGAAGAAAGCCCCGGCUAACUACGUGCCAGCAGCCGCGGUAGUACGUAGGGGGCAAGCGUUGUCCGGAAUUAUUGGGCGUAAAGCGCGCGCAGGCGGUCAUUUAAGUCUGGUGUUUAAUCCCGGGGCUCAACCCCGGAUCGCACUGGAAACUGGGUGACUUGAGUGCAGAAGAGGAGAGUGGAAUUCCACGU